CGCCAAAGCAGGACACUAAUCAGACUUGUGAUAACGAUGUUCAGCAGGACCUUUGUCUAGAAACUUCAGUCACUGAGACCGAGACUACCAGGCUCACAGGAGAUGGGUGUGAAGAGCAGCCUUCAAAGAUCAGUUGUGAGGCACCAGCAGAGGACAGAACCCAAGACUAUUCAGAAUGCAUUUCUGAAUUGUUUUCUACUCCCAGUGUUUUAGUACCCAUGGAUGUUCUGGAAGAUCAGGGGUCUAUCCAGAAUCUCCAUUUGCAGAAAGAUACAUCAAAUGAGAAUUUGAGAUUACUUCCUGAAGUAGAAGACUGG
rnacentral:lncRNA from 1 species